rnacentral:rRNA from 1 species
GACGAACGCUGGCGGCGUGCUUAACACAUGCAAGUCGAACGGAAAGGCCUGCUUUCCCUUGUGGAUUGCGGGUACUCGAGUGGCGAACGGGUGAGUAACACGUGGGUGAUCUGCCCCCAACUUGGGUAUAAGCCUGGGAAACUGGGUCUAAUUCCCGAUAGGACUGCAGGGUGGUGCCUGUGGUGGAAAACGAUUUUCUAGUGGUUGGGGAUGAGCUCGCGGCCUAUCAGCUUGUUGGUGGGGUAAUGGCCUACCAAGGCGGCGACGGGUAGCCGGCCUGAGAGGGUGGACGGCCACAUUGGGACUGAGAUACGGCCCAGACUCCUACGGGAGGCAGCAGUGGGGAAUAUUGCACAAUGGGCGGAAGCCUGAUGCAGCGACGCCGCGUGGGGGAUGACGGCCUUCGGGUGGUAAACUCCUUUCGACCGCGAGGAAGCCACCUGGUUGGAAGGGUGGUGACGGUAGUGGUAGAAGAAGCACCGGCUAACUACGUG